rnacentral:tRNA from 1 species
GGGGAUUUAGCUCAGAGGUAGAGUGCUUGCCUUGCAAGGGGCCCUGAGUUCAGUCCCCA